ACUGAGGCGUCACUAGGCAACCGCACCGUCCCUGGCGCUGCUCUGCCUCUGGCGCUCAAGUGGGAGCUUAUGUAGACUUAACUCGGAAAAGAGCAGCAGGGCUGAGGAGCGGGAGGGAGGAUUACCAGGAAAAAUAUUGGAUUGGGCCGAGACACAAGGGCCGGGGCCUUACCUGAGUCCCCCGCCGCCGUCGAGUCCUGACGCCCCGAGAGGCUCUGGGGCCUCGACGAGGUUCCCACACAACCAGAAAGAGCAGAAGAGCAGGUCCCUGAGAUUGACGCGCGUGAUGCGCUGCCGAGUGAGUCUGGAGCCAGAGGAACCGGCGGUGCCGGUUAGAGACGAGCCUGUUCCGGAUCCCUGGAAGAUGUGGAAAAGUUGAGGAAGAAGGAAACGGAGCCACACAAACAACAGGUAGUUACUACUGACGGAAAAGACAAAGAAGACGACAGGAAGUGCUUUUACUUGUACAAUUGAGCACCAGAUAGCAAACUGAGAGUUUGGACAGAAAGCACCAUAUGGCCGGGACUUUCCCUGGGGUAGAGCCUGCAUGUUCUUCUGAGCACACUUCUCUUCCAGAUUCCACCCACGGUCCAAAGACAAGCAGAUUACACUGAUCAGCGAUGAGCAAGGGAGCUCAUAAAGACCGUUAGCGCAACCAAAACGAAUGAUUAUGUUGGCAAAGCAGAAGUAAAACCAUUUAAAGGAGAGAGAAGGUAAUAAAGAGGAGUCAGCUGAUGGCUGCAGUGAGAACAGAGCUCUGCUUGACCUGACGAGAGGCGUCACUCUGCAGGUUUCUCUGCUUGGGACUCUGAGCAGUUGGCGAGGACUGCCGAUGACAGCUGCUUACAAAUUCAGCUUUCCAUCACUGACACAGCCACCGGGAAGCAGGCUCGACUCUCAGCGCUAACAUUUGUAACCAUUAACAAAAAGAAUGUUUCAAACUGGAGCUGUAAAUACACUCAGUGACUCCCAGAAAGGCUCUGUUCACGCCACUGCCUUGCUAAAGUAUUCAUAUCUCAUUUCUUUCAAUCGCAUUGCAACCUCAAACUUGAGUGUGAUUUUUUAAAUUUUAUUUUGUGAUCGGUAAAUCUUGUCACAACAAGCAAUAAAUCGAUUCAA